GCUCCAAUUUUAUUUCUCUUUGCAGGCGGUUGGGAUCAGUGCACUUGUUGCAAUUUACUUUAUAGUCCGCUGGGUGAAAACAAGAGGCAGAAGAAAAGCAAAGAAGUAUGGUGUUAUCCAUGGGACAGGAGAGAUGGAGCCAUUAGAGAAGCACAUUGAUGAAGAUGAAGAAGACAUCGCACUCUUUGAUGUGAAAGAUUCGAAACGACCAAAAUGAAGUGCAGUCAAGAUAAUGCUACAGCUUAAUAGAAAUAAGAUCGUCUAACAGAACCGAUAGAUUAUUUGGAAAUAGAUAACUAAACCCACAUUUUCAAAGGUUAAUUACGGUAUCAAUUGUUUAAGUUGUUUUUGACCUCAAGGUAUUACUUAUAUAAAUGCAUUGCAUUUGAGUUUUGUUUUGUGUCAGUAUCAAGCUUGACUUUAAAUCAGCUGCCAGGAACAUAUAGUUGAUCGAUAUGAAUAGCAAUCUUUGAACAACCAGCCCAGAUAUGUGCCCUGUUUAUAUGCAUGUACCUCAAUGCUAGUACAGUGUUACGCAAUCUUUAGCUCUGUAUUU